rnacentral:tRNA from 1 species
ACUCUAUUAGUUUAUUUAAAACGUGGCUUUGAAGGGGCCGAGAAUACCGGAGUA